GACGAACGCUGGCGGCGUGCUUAACACAUGCCAGUCGAACGGAAAGGCCCUGCUUUUGUGGGGUGCUCGAGUGGCGAACGGGUGAGUAACACGUGAGUAACCUGCCCUUGACUUUGGGAUAACUUCAGGAAACUGGGGCUAAUACCGGAUAGGAGCUCCUGCUGCAUGGGGGGGGUUGGAAAGUUUCGGCGGUUGGGGAUGGACUCGCGGCUUAUCAGCUUGUUGGUGGGGUAGUGGCUUACCAAGGCGUUGACGGGUAGCCGGCCUGAGAGGGUGACCGGCCACAUUGGGACUGAGAUACGGCCCAGACUCCUACGGGAGGCAGCAGUGGGGAAUAUUGCACAAUGGGCGGAAGCCUGAUGCAGCAACGCCGCGUGCGGGAUGACGGCCUUCGGGUUGUAAACCGCUUUCGCCUGUGACGAAGCGUGAGUGACGGUAAUGGGUAAAGAAGCACCGGCUAACUACGUG
rnacentral:rRNA from 1 species